rnacentral:rRNA from 1 species
CACGUAGGGGACGAGCGUUGUCCGGAUUCAUUGGGCGUAAAGCGCGCGUAGGCGGCUCGGAAAGUCGGUCGUGAAAUGCCGGGGCUCAACCCCGGGACUGCGUCCGAUACUCUCGAGCUGGAGGCAGGUAGGGGAGAUCGGAAUUCCUGGUGUAGCGGUGAAAUGCGCAGAUAUCAGGAGGAACACCAAUGGCGAAGGCAGCUCGCUGGAACGGUACUGACGCUGAGGCGCGAAAGCGUGGGGAGCGAACAGG